CCCUUUUUUCCUUCCUUCCUCAAUUUAUAGAAACUACCUUUGCGUCGUCGAGCUCUUGUCUAGCCCUACCUACUCAUGCGCAUCUUCAACCUAACUAUAUCUACAAAUUUCCGCACUGUUCCACAUACAGGGUGGUGCCCUUUACAACUCACCAAAAUUCGACAUACACGCAUGUACGUUGCGACAUCACUGCAGUCUCUCGAUAUUGUUUUAACACAUUGUCUGUCACGGUGACCAUCGGUAACUCACGAGUUUUACUAAAUUUUGUAGAAUGGUUAAAAUAAAAUAAAUUUCAUAAAUUAAAAAAUUGUCAAUAAUGUGAAUAACUUAAAUAACGUUGUCAGAAAAAAAGUACGUAAAUAAAGUGUAAUAUUUUGCAAAAAUUAAAUAUAUAGUGUAGUAUAUCUAAAUCCAUCAUUGUCUCAAGACGAUGUAUAUAAAAUUCGCGUAGCAGUCCAAGUAGUACAAGUUUUGAUUAGAGGACAUGCUUAGUUAUAGAAAAGAAGAAAGGGAUUGGGUGUUAGAGAUUUUGUACAUUAAUAUUAAAAAAAUUAAAUCUGACAAAUAGUUUUGUGUAUUUUACGUAGAGAGGAUAUCUGAUUUAUUGAGGAUGUUAUUUCAUUCAAGCUGCAGCUCCACAGAUAAAAAUCUGAAACAUUUAGGUCAUGAAAAGUUGAUAACCAUUUAAUGUAUCCAUAUAACAGAACAGGUCUGUUAGGAAAUAUUUUAAAAAAAUUAUUAUUAAGUAUUUUGUAUGUAUAGCAAUAGCUGUUAAAACAAAACACAGUUUAUUUUUCUUAAAUGAAA